rnacentral:rRNA from 1 species
UAAGACAGAGGGUGCAAACGUUGCUCGGAAUUACUGGGCGUAAAGCGCGUGUAGGCGGACCAACAAGUCGGACGUGAAAGCCCUGGGCUCAACCCAGGAACUGCAUCCGAAACUGUUGGUCUGGAGUGGUGGAGAGGGAAGCAGAAUUCCUGGUGUAGAGGUGAAAUUCGUAGAUAUCAGGAGGAACACCGGUGGCGAAGGCGGCUUCCUGGACACUUACUGACGCUGAGACGCGAAAGCGUGGGGAGCAAACAGGAUUAGAUACCCUGGUAGUCCACGCCGUAAACGAUGAGUGCUGGGUGUCGUGGGUUUUGACCCCCGCGGUGCCGUAGCUAACGCGUUAAGCACUCCGCCUGGGGAGUACGGCCGCAAGGCUA